GACGAACGCUGGCGGCGUGCCUAAUACAUGCAAGUCGAGCGGACAGAAGGGAGCUUGCUCCCGGAAGUUAGCGGCGGACGGGUGAGUAACACGUGGGCAACCUACCCUGUAGAUCGGGAUAACAUCGAGAAAUCGGUGCUAAUACCGGAUAAUCAUUUGAAGUGCAUGCUUCGAAUGUAAAAGAUGGCUCCGGCUAUCACUACGGGAUGGGCCCGCGGCGCAUUAGCUAGUUGGUAAGGUAAUGGCUUACCAAGGCAACGAUGCGUAGCCGACCUGAGGGGGGGAUGGGCCACACUGGGACUGAGACACGGCCCAGACUCCUACGGGAGGAAGCAGUAGGGAAUCUUCCGCAAUGGACGAAAGUCUGAUGGAGCAACGCCGCGUGAGUGAUGAAGGUUUUCGGAUCGUAAAGCUCUGUUGCUAGGGAAGAACAAGUGCCGUUUGAAUAAGGCGGCACCUUGACGGUACCUAACCAGAAAGCCACGGCUAACUACGUGCCAGCCGCCGCCGUAAGAC
rnacentral:rRNA from 1 species